UACGUGGGGGGCAAGCGUUGUUCGGAAUUACUGGGCGUAAAGGGCUCGUAGGUGGCCAACUAAGUCAGACGUGAAAUCCCUCAGCUUAACUGGGGAACUGCGUCUGAUACUGGAUGGCUUGAGUUUGGGAGAGGGAUGCGGAAUUCCAGGUGUAGCGGUGAAAUGCGUAGAUAUCUGGAGGAACACCGGUGGCGAAGGCGGCAUCCUGGACCAACACUGACACUGAGGAGCGAAAGCCAGGGGAGCAAACGGG
rnacentral:rRNA from 1 species